rnacentral:rRNA from 1 species
GACGAAGGGGGCUAGCGUUGUUCGGAAUUACUGGGCGUAAAGCGCGUGUAGGCGGUUGUUCAAGUCAGGUGUGAAAGCCUUGAGCUCAACUCAAGAAAUGCACUUGAUACUGGAUGACUAGAGGACCGGAGAGGAUAGUGGAAUUCCCAGUGUAGUGGUGAAAUACGUAGAGAUUGGGAAGAACACCCGUGGCUAAGGCGGCUCUCUAGUACGGUACUGACGCUGAGACGCGAAAGCGUGGGGAGCGAACAGG